UUCUUACACCGAAUGCUUGCAUUCACCGUAAGAAGUUGAGUGGCGGACGGGUGAGUAACACGUGGGUAACCUGCCUAAAAGAAGGGGAUAACACUUGGAAACAGGUGCUAAUACCGUAUAUCUCUAAGGAUCGCAUGAUCCUUAGAUGAAAGAUGGUUCUGCUAUCGCUUUUAGAUGGACCCGCGGCGUAUUAACUAGUUGGUGGGGUAACGGCCUACCAAGGUGAUGAUACGUAGCCGAACUGAGAGGUUGAUCGGCCACAUUGGGACUGAGACACGGCCCAAACUCCUACGGGAGGCAGCAGUAGGGAAUCUUCCACAAUGGACGCAAGUCUGAUGGAGCAACGCCGCGUGAGUGAAGAAGGUCUUCGGAUCGUAAAACUCUGUUGUUAGAUAAGAACACGAGUGAGAGUAACUGUUCAUUCGAUGACGGUAUCUAACCAGCAAGUCACGGCUAACUACGUGCCAGCAGCCGCGGUAAUACGUAGGUGGCAAGCGUUGUCCGGAUUUAUUGGGCGUAAAGGGAACGCAGGCGGUCUUUUAAGUCUGAUGUGAAAGCCUUCGGCUUAACCGGAGUAGUGCAUUGGAAACUGGAAGACUUGAGUGCAGAAGAGGAGAGUGGAACUCCAUGUGUAGCGGUGAAAUGCGUAGAUAUAUGGAAGAACACCAGUGGCGAAAGCGGCUCUCUGGUCUGUAACUGACGCUGAGUUCGAAAGCGUGGGUAGCAAAC
rnacentral:rRNA from 2 species